GGGUGAGCGGUAACGUAGGAGAGUUACGACGGACUGUAAAUCCGUUCCUUUCGGGGUUAGAGUGUUCGAAUCACUCCUUGCCCA
rnacentral:tRNA from 1 species